CGGUGAGUCUAACCGUCUAAACUCCACGUUCUUUCAAUCUGGGCCCAUAAACUCGAUUUUGGCGGUUUUUUGCAGUUCAUCUCCUCCUACUUCUUCUCCCCACGAUUCUAUACGAUUGCGUCUCUACCCACGUUCUACACAAUUGUCUGUUGCCUCCUCAAGAAGCAAUUCAAUUGGAAACUGCAUUAAAUUGCAACACGCCUCCGACUUUUACCCUAAACCGCAAAUUGGUUUUAAUCAAGAACUGCACCACACGAUUCCAUGAUUGCUAGAAAUCAGGUGGUUUUGAUUAACUGUCUUGUCUAUAUAAGAGUUGAAUUUCACUGUAAAUGCUUCAAUCAUAGUUGUUGGUUGACAAUUGUUGGUAAAAAUAGUUGCUUCUGUUGAUCCAAUGGCUUCCAAUUCGUCUGACAUACCUUCACUUAAGAGCUUUGAAGUUGUUGAUGGAAAAGUCAAUCCACCGUCAGAGGUAUCAAAAUCGACAGUUGAUCUUAAUAAUUCCAAUUUGUCUGACAUACCUUCACCUAAGUGGUUUGGUAGCGGAUUAUCAACAUCCAACUAUGAACACAUCUUGAAAAAGCAUCUCAUAAGUGCCAGACUUUUGAAGCCUUAACAACAACAUAUUAUCAACAUCCAGUUGUUGAAUUGAACCUUUGGCUAAUGCACGUGUUUUCCUUCACUUAAUUGGUGGAUAUCAGGUAAACACUUUUUGUGUCAUUUUCCUGAUUAAUGAACAAUUUAUGCAACUUACGUACCAUACUUUGUUGAAAUUGGUUUAUUUGACGGUCAUUUGACAAUUGUCAUAUUUUUAAAAAAUGUAUAAAUGGGGAUGGGGGCAAAAUGGUAAUUUGUCUUUGAAAAUAAUAGUAGUGUACUUAUUUUCAAUAAAAUUUAUGUUAUUUUCUUAUUUAAGCAGUGUACUUCUACCUAUAGCAUCAUACUUUCAUUUUUAAUUAAUAUUUUAAAAAAAUAUGUUGUUUUUGUCAUUAAACCAUUGUACUUUCAAAGUACAAUGGUUAAAUAAGAAAAUAAAACAAAAAAAAAUUAAAAAAAAAGAAGAUUUAGAAAUGAAUGUUAAAUAUAUAAUUAGACAAAAAAAAAGUACAUUCACAAAUCAAAGUACAAUGGUUUCUUCUAUAACUUGUUUGAUCGGAUUUUAUUUGCACCUAAAUUCUUACUAUUUAAAUGAAUAAAACGAAAUAUGUCCAUUUUAGAACAUCAAAACAUUAUCUGUUUAAGUUUCUUCAUUUUGCUUCAAGUAGUCGGGUUUUCUGAAGUUAGAACACAUGAAAAUGUGAUACAAGGUUUCAACUUCAUAUUAACUAUUACUUUGUCUUUUUUUUUUAAUGUUUUUUGAUAUGUUGGUAAGUACUAUAUGCCACAAAAAGUAUAUGAUUUUUCUGAAAUUGGAUAACUUAGAUCGUUUAACUAUUGAAAUUUUGUAGUGCAUUUUCAAUUUUAAUUAGUAUGUUUGUAUAUUUUGUUGGUUUGUUGGUAAACAAAACGUGUUACAAAAUGGUCUAAAUUCCGGACCAUGCAAAGAAACAACAUCACAAAGCACUUUUCCCCGUUGGAAUAUUCUAUGUGGCGAUUACUCAACAACUAGCACCAAAUCCAAAUGAUUAGAAUCAAAUGCCAAAAUUUAGCUUAAGAAAUCCUCCAAAUAUUAUCGGGGGUAAAAUCAUCAACAUUGAUCAAAAUAAACAAUGCACCAUCAAAGGCUUAACAUUAAGAAGUCGAACUGUAGCCCCACAAAAGAUCUAAUAUAACCUUUGUGAGCACCCAAUAUCAAAAGACAAUAAAAGGGAACCGUCCUGAUUAUGAUUAUUUGUUGUAAUAUAAUUUAUAAAAGUCAACUCUUCAUUUGAUAUGUUUUUUUAGUAUAAAAUAUUUCAAUUGUUGAUGAAUUGUAUGAAUGUCAUUUUAAUAAAUAGAACCAAUGUUAAAAAGG